AAAUCAAAUGACAGAUUAAAAAAAUGUCUUUUAAAUGCUGGUUUUUUCUAAAUAAUGCUUUCAUUUUUUUCAAACAUAACCAUGAUGAUCCAUGUGAAUAUACAUUCCUUUGCAGGUUUUGGAUUCUUUAUAGGGCCAAGCAAGAUGGACCAGUAGUCUUGGGUUGGCGUCAUCCUUGGGAAGGGCAUGGAGAUCACUCACAUGAUCAUGUGCCUGAAGACAAGGUGUAGAUGUUAGAACAUCCAAGAUAUGCGAACUUGGAAUAUUGAAUUAUAGAGCUAAGCGAGUGCUUUGGAUUGCCCUCCGCCAGCUUGAAGUAAUUGAGACCCACAGUGGAUAUGGUUCUCAUCACACAUCUUUCCUGUAAUGAAUUAAGAUUGUCUGCUACAUUUUUGACCUGGCUCUGAUCCAUUAGAUCUGUGUAACUAUGCUGUAAGAUUUCACAGUAGAACGAGAGACAUGUGAGAAGGUGAUUUCUUUGACUCAUUUAAUUAGAUCUAGUCCUUUAUUUGCUAAUACUUCCCCAUACUGAU